UGAACUUCAUUAUUGCAUGCGUCUAGAUUUUCAGGUAAAACCAACGUGCCCGCGAUUGUUGUUACAGGUUGGACUGUAUUUCACAAGAAAAAGAUAAAAAUGUCAGGAAGAGAAGGAGGAAAAAAGAAGCCUUUAAAGGCUGCAAAGAAACAACAGCAGGAUCUUGAUGAUGAUGACGUAGCGUUAAAGCAGAAACUGAAAGACGAACAGAAAGCCUUACAAGCUGCGAAAGACAAAGCUGGAAAGAAAGGACCCAUGGGUGCUUCAGGCAUAAAGAAAUCAGGGAAGAAAUGACCCUGACAAAAUGGGGAUAUGGGGGCUGGAGGACAAAGCUUUUCUGCAUCACUUUAACACAAACACAUCAGAUCAUGGAUAAAUGUGUCGUCAUGCCUGGCGUUUCAUCGUCAAGGGACUUUGUAAUUGUAAAUAUCUAAAAUAUUGAUUCCCAAUCAUGUUCUACCAAGUCUUUUUGCAUGAUUCAAAUAUCAUCAGAUCUGUCCAAGUGAAACAAACAUAAACAAACGACGGAAAGUGAAUAUUCAGUAAAUCCUUAUUUCUUUGAAUGCAGACAAGCAUUAGACUGUUUCCUGAUUUUAGAAAUAAUAAUUAUCAAGGAUGGACAUUAGCCAUUUCAAUGUUAGUAGUUUCCCAGGUUGUAGAUACAUACUUGAAAAUUGUUUUUUAUUAUUGGUUGUCUUGUAAUAAGUACAUAAAGAAAUUCGGACAUUAUUUAUGCACAACAUAGUCUUACUUUCUGAUGAUGUCUAGUGUUAUUCUAUAAUCUAGAAAUUAAAGCCAAUAGUCUUUAAUAUUCUUGUUAUUUUCUAUAAUUGAAACCGUUCAGCCCUGACUAAAUGUAAAAUUUAACUCUGCCUGAUGCUGAUACCCAAGUAUUGUAUGCGUUCAUUUGAUGUUUCACAUGAAUAUAUAGAGAUGCAUUGUGCAAUAUAUAUAAAGAUACACAUGCAGACUUACUUAAAACAGAAAAAAUCUUAUCUUUUCACGUCUUCAAUAUGUUUUAUGUGUAUUUGAUGUAAAAAAAAAGAUCUUUUGAAAAGGAAGUGCCAAUAUGAUAUUGGGAAAAAAAUAAAAGCAUGACAUAAUGAAACGUGA